AGCCCACUUGUGUGGGUUUUGUUUCUGUAGGUCAGUUUAAGACUUAGUGAAGUUGUUGUAGUUUCACAAUUGUGGCAACAGAUUUCAUGUCUAAUGCAGGUUGACAUUUUUGUUGUUGUUGCAUUCUGGUGUUCCACUGAAAAUGUGAAAGUGAAUAAUUCUAACUUAGACAUUGUAGAUAGGCCUUCAAGAUUACACUACGAGUUUCCCACCUUUCAAUGGUUCUGUUACAAGUCAUAUCUGCUGCCACUUCUAGUGGUAUAUGCUCCCAUAUGGUGGGAAGCUCACAAGAAAUGUCUUUGGACUUAAGGAAACUCAUAUUUGACCUUAUCCCCCUCUCCUAAUGUUGAAACCUCUGUUACCCCUCCCACCUCAUCCUUCUCUCUCACCACAUCCCCGAUUAACACCCCAGACCUGUUACUCCCCCCUCCCUUCUCCUCCUUCCAGCCAUGCGUCCAUCCAACUCUGUGACCUUUGAACCCAGGGUGGAGCGAGGUGUUCCCUGGGGUCGCGACCUCUUUACCUUUGUGACAUCAGCAGCAGGCCACAUGAUGCGGACACUCCAGAGACCAAGGAAGAACAGGCCAUCCAAACGUCAAGUCAACCACCGGCGCUUCCUACACAACAUGAUCCAGAGGAAGUUUGCAGAGAUAGAGGCAGCCAAUCACCAGCUUGUGUCUGUUCUCUUCUCAACGGAGGUAGCGAAUAGCGACACACCUUCCCCAUCACGACAGCCAAUAACCACUGACCAAUCUAACAGCACCUCUAAAGAAGACUCCCCUCCAGCUCCUGUAAGUGCAGAAGCAAACCUUUCCCUUUGUUCACAUGAAACUGAAGCCCUUGCAACAGAACAGAAAGACCCUGGAGCCCAAUGGAGGAGACUCAACCCCAAACAUCUCCAAAUGGACCAGUCCAACAGCAACACUCCAAGUAAAGGAACAUACCAAAUGACUCAUAAACAGUGGGGCAGAACAGAAAAUCAAACUGACUAUAGAUCAUCCAUAACAUCAGAGAAAACCAUUGUCUUAGAACAAGAGGAGGAACACUUUCACACAGAACCCUUCAGUUGUGAUGUCACUUCAGAGGAGAGCCUUUAUAGCUGGAUAGACAGCAUUAGAGAGAAAUAUGAAACACAACUCAGACACGACUCAAAUUCAAAUAUCACGGCCCCAACUCAAAACCAGAGGGCCCUACCUCUAAACUUGGAUACCUCAACUUUCAACCCAACACCCCUCUCCCCCGGACUCUCCCCUCUGUCCCUAGAUUCCUGUGAUUUUGGGGUCACAACGGUCGCAGACAACUCCGCUUGCUUCCAGUCCCUAAACAAUAUGGCAGACAGUGACACAGUGGAGAGCCAGAGAAUGGACAUGUUGAACCUGUGGGACUCAGAGGUUGAACCACAGAAUGAUGGGGACCCGCCGGCCCAUCUAGAGACCAUCUGGGGGUAUCCUGGUGAUGGGAGGAGCCUAGGUGAUAAGGCACACGUUGAUGACAUCACGUAUCUGAACCAAUCCGAAAAUUUCAUAGAGAAGUUGAUGCUCCACACCAGCAGCAGUAGGAGUGACGGUAGAUCUGAGAUGGAGAGGAUUGACUGUGAUGGAGGGCAGUAUAAAUACGGAUCUGGAUACGGAUGUUCUAUCGAUCCAGUAACAGCCAUAAGAGACUUCAUUAGUGGCCAGGGCAGCUCACAGUGUAUGUUGGAGAGUGCUGUGGGAAGACAAGGUACAGAUAGGCAGUUCACCUGUUUAAAUACUAACCCAAACCAACUGUCCACCUCUGUAGGCUACCCUUGUGACUUCCCAGACCCCAACAUCCUUCAGAGGUCUUGUCCCCAACAAGAUGGUACCUUCUCAUUCGUGAAUGAUGAUAUGAAUCAGAGUUGUAUUCCCUUUGAGGGAGUGGCCAGAUCCUUCCCGGCCCCAGUUCACACCCCUCAUCCACAUCAGGUUCUGACCCCGCCCCUGGAAGAUGAUUGGCUGUUCACUGAUAUCAUGGGGGCCCAUCAGUGUGAGUAG
ensembl:lncRNA